rnacentral:rRNA from 1 species
GUCGAGAAUCUUUCACAAUGGGGGCAACCCUGAUGGAGCGACGCCGCGUGGAGGAUAAGGUCUUCGGAUUGUAAACUCCUGUCAUGCGUGAACAAGGUUGCUUGGUUAAUACCUGGGCAAAUUGAUGGUAACGCAAGAGGAAGAGACGGCUAACUCUGUGCCAGCAGCCGCGGUAAUACAGAGGUCUCAAGCGUUGUUCGGAAUCACUGGGCGUAAAGGGUGCGUAGGUGGCGUGGUAAGUAAGAUGUGAAAGCCCGGGGCUCAACCUCGGAACUGCAUCCGAUACUGCCAUGCUAGAGUACUGGAGAGGUGACUAGAAUUCUCGGUGUAGCAGUGAAAUGCGUAGAUAUCGAGAGGAAUACCAAAGGCGUAGGCAGGUCACUGGACAGUUACUGACACUGAGGCACGAAGGCCAGGGGAGCGAACGGGAUUAGAUACCCGGGUAGUCC